AAGUCGUAACAAGGUUUCCGUAGGUGAACCUGCGGAAGGAUCAUUAACACGUAUCCAACGUUAAAACCCCCCGUGAACCUUCAUUAUGCUGGUAAAGUACCAUCGUACGUAGCAAUCCCUGGUAAAUCAUCGCCCGAACAGUUUUGAUUCAGGGACCUCUAUAGUCCGAAAGAGUCAUACCAUAUAGCAUAUCGCAAUGGAUCUGGCAUUCCUCUGCUUGUUAGUGUCUGAAAGUGUCACUAGCUCUGUACGGAUGGCGCAGUAACGAUACCUAUAGUCACCUCCAUUGCACGAUUAACGCGGUGUGCGAUUCGUACGCACCCUCCAUAAAAUGCUUAGAACAACUGUUAACAACGGAUCUCUUGGCUCUC
rnacentral:misc_RNA from 1 species